GGGUUGUGAGGUUAAGCGACUAAGCGUACACGGUGGAUGCCCUGGCAGUCAGAGGCGAUGAAGGACGUGCUAAUCUGCGAUAAGCGUCGGUAAGGUGAUAUGAACCGUUAUAACCGGCGAUUUCCGAAUGGGGAAACCCAGUGUGUUUCGACACACUAUCAUUAACUGAAUCCAUAGGUUAAUGAGGCGAACCGGGGGAACUGAAACAUCUAAGUACCCCGAGGAAAAGAAAUCAACCGAGAUUCCCCCAGUAGCGGCGAGCGAACGGGGAGCAGCCCAGAGCCUGAAUCAGUGUGUGUGUUAGUGGAAGCGUCUGGAAAGGCGCGCGAUACAGGGUGACAGCCCCGUACACAAAAAUGCACAUACUGUGAGCUCGAUGAGUAGGGCGGGACACGUGGUAUCCUGUCUGAAUAUGGGGGGACCAUCCUCCAAGGCUAAAUACUCCUGACUGACCGAUAGUGAACCAGUACCGUGAGGGAAAGGCGAAAAGAACCCCGGCGAGGGGAGUGAAAAAGAACCUGAAACCGUGUACGUACAAGCAGUGGGAGCACGCUUAGGCGUGUGACUGCGUACCUUUUGUAUAAUGGGUCAGCGACUUAUAUUCUGUAGCAAGGUUAACCGAAUAGGGGAGCCGAAGGGAAACCGAGUCUUAACUGGGCGUUAAGUUGCAGGGUAUAGACCCGAAACCCGGUGAUCUAGCCAUGGGCAGGUUGAAGGUUGGGUAACACUAACUGGAGGACCGAACCGACUAAUGUUGAAAAAUUAGCGGAUGACUUGUGGCUGGGGGUGAAAGGCCAAUCAAACCGGGAGAUAGCUGGUUCUCCCCGAAAGCUAUUUAGGUAGCGCCUCGUGAAUUCAUCUCCGGGGGUAGAGCACUGUUUCGGCAAGGGGGUCAUCCCGACUUACCAACCCGAUGCAAACUGCGAAUACCGGAGAAUGUUAUCACGGGAGACACACGGCGGGUGCUAACGUCCGUCGUGAAGAGGGAAACAACCCAGACCGCCAGCUAAGGUCCCAAAGUCAUGGUUAAGUGGGAAACGAUGUGGGAAGGCCCAGACAGCCAGGAUGUUGGCUUAGAAGCAGCCAUCAUUUAAAGAAAGCGUAAUAGCUCACUGGUCGAGUCGGCCUGCGCGGAAGAUGUAACGGGGCUAAACCAUGCACCGAAGCUGCGGCAGCGACGCUGAUGCGUUGUUGGGUAGGGGAGCGUUCUGUAAGCCUGCGAAGGUGUGCUGUGAGGCAUGCUGGAGGUAUCAGAAGUGCGAAUGCUGACAUAAGUAACGAUAAAGCGGGUGAAAAGCCCGCUCGCCGGAAGACCAAGGGUUCCUGUCCAACGUUAAUCGGGGCAGGGUGAGUCGACCCCUAAGGCGAGGCCGAAAGGCGUAGUCGAUGGGAAACAGGUUAAUAUUCCUGUACUUGGUGUUACUGCGAAGGGGGGACGGAGAAGGCUAUGUUGGCCGGGCGACGGUUGUCCCGGUUUAAGCGUGUAGGCUGGUUUUCCAGGCAAAUCCGGAAAAUCAAGGCUGAGGCGUGAUGACGAGGCACUACGGUGCUGAAGCAACAAAUGCCCUGCUUCCAGGAAAAGCCUCUAAGCAUCAGGUAACAUCAAAUCGUACCCCAAACCGACACAGGUGGUCAGGUAGAGAAUACCAAGGCGCUUGAGAGAACUCGGGUGAAGGAACUAGGCAAAAUGGUGCCGUAACUUCGGGAGAAGGCACGCUGAUAUGUAGGUGAAGUCCCUCGCGGAUGGAGCUGAAAUCAGUCGAAGAUACCAGCUGGCUGCAACUGUUUAUUAAAAACACAGCACUGUGCAAACACGAAAGUGGACGUAUACGGUGUGACGCCUGCCCGGUGCCGGAAGGUUAAUUGAUGGGGUCAGCGCAAGCGAAGCUCUUGAUCGAAGCCCCGGUAAACGGCGGCCGUAACUAUAACGGUCCUAAGGUAGCGAAAUUCCUUGUCGGGUAAGUUCCGACCUGCACGAAUGGCGUAAUGAUGGCCAGGCUGUCUCCACCCGAGACUCAGUGAAAUUGAACUCGCUGUGAAGAUGCAGUGUACCCGCGGCAAGACGGAAAGACCCCGUGAACCUUUACUAUAGCUUGACACUGAACAUUGAGCCUUGAUGUGUAGGAUAGGUGGGAGGCUUUGAAGUGUGGACGCCAGUCUGCAUGGAGCCGACCUUGAAAUACCACCCUUUAAUGUUUGAUGUUCUAACGUUGACCCGUGAUCCGGGUUGCGGACAGUGUCUGGUGGGUAGUUUGACUGGGGCGGUCUCCUCCUAAAGAGUAACGGAGGAGCACGAAGGUUGGCUAAUCCUGGUCGGACAUCAGGAGGUUAGUGCAAUGGCAUAAGCCAGCUUGACUGCGAGCGUGACGGCGCGAGCAGGUGCGAAAGCAGGUCAUAGUGAUCCGGUGGUUCUGAAUGGAAGGGCCAUCGCUCAACGGAUAAAAGGUACUCCGGGGAUAACAGGCUGAUACCGCCCAAGAGUUCAUAUCGACGGCGGUGUUUGGCACCUCGAUGUCGGCUCAUCACAUCCUGGGGCUGAAGUAGGUCCCAAGGGUAUGGCUGUUCGCCAUUUAAAGUGGUACGCGAGCUGGGUUUAGAACGUCGUGAGACAGUUCGGUCCCUAUCUGCCGUGGGCGCUGGAGAACUGAGGGGGGCUGCUCCUAGUACGAGAGGACCGGAGUGGACGCAUCACUGGUGUUCGGGUUGUCAUGCCAAUGGCACUGCCCGGUAGCUAAAUGCGGAAGAGAUAAGUGCUGAAAGCAUCUAAGCACGAAACUUGCCCCGAGAUGAGUUCUCCCUGACUCCUUGAGAGUCCUGAAGGAACGUUGAAGACGACGACGUUGAUAGGCCGGGUGUGUAAGCGCAGCGAUGCGUUGAGCUA
rnacentral:rRNA from 1 species